AGUAAUUGCUGCACCGCAUCUUUAAAUUCGACUGUCGCCUUUUCAUCCACAUGAACACAGUAGACAUUCUGAGGCAUGUAAAUAGCUCUGAAGAGCCUUGCAAAGGAAAGGCGUCUUGCCUUUGAUAAAGGAUGUGCAAACCUGACUCAGCAUCAAAGUGUCCGAGUUAUUUAGCCUCUGGAAGCUUUGCUCUCCCCCAGAAUUAAACACAUAGAACACGAUAAAAAUGAUUACACAAGAAACAGAAACUAUAAAGAGGUAACGCAUCGACGAACGCAUGCCUCAAAGAGGAGUGAGCUUUCAAAGACUGUCAAAAUCUGCCACACGACCUGCUAAUCAAGAACGGACACCAUGUGUUCUUUUGCUACUGAGACUGAGCAGUUCAGCCCUUGCGACCCGCCGUUGACUGCAGGCAACGACAAGGUCAACACUUGGAGGCCUAGCAACCACGCCUUGUCGCUCACUUUGGAAGCAAUUAUUCCCGAACUAGCCAAUUAAUCAGGCUAGACACGUUUACCCUCCCCCUGAGGCCACCUUAAAAGCUCACUCUUUAUUCCUCAGAAGUCUUUAUUUUUGGUACAUUAAAGAAUUUUUUUUCCCGAUUAUGAAGCUAUCUAGACACAGCUCCAAAAUGAAGAGGGUGCCCUUCCUUUGAAAUGAUGGAAGACUCGGAAUCUCAACAAAAUGAAAAUAAUCGAAGACGGAAAAGAAUGUCCUCUGACACCUCAGCACCUGUAGGCUUUCCUGUGUGCAGGGGCCAGAAGACACCUGCCUGACGCUCCAGACUAAAGAAGCAGGCGCUGAAGGGGGCUGCACUGCAGAGCGUGCUGCCUGCCCGGCUCGAGCGCUAGGGGAGGCGGCAGCUGUCGUCAUGCUCGAAGACCUGCACUUUAUUUUGUUGCCAAAGGAGUAUCACCAAGGCUUAAGGUGGAGGAGCUCUCCCAGGCAACGCGUGCCGAGUGGACGAGGAGUACGAGCAAAAUAAAUCACGCUAAAAUGAGCUGUAAUUCAAUAUGUAUAAGAUGAAUCCACUCAGCAGCAGUGAUGGAACCCAGGAAGUGUGAGGAAUGGCCCCUCUCUUGUAGGAGAGUCUUUCUUUACCAGGAUUCAGAACAUGGACAGCUGAAAAUAUAACCAAAUGGGGAAGACUAUGGGUCAGUUCGGAACAAGAGACUAUCCGCUAAAUUUUGUGGGAGCUCCGAAGACAAAGAGUUCCCCUGGGGCUGAGAUGGUAAGAAAGGGCUUCCGAUGGUUAGAUUCAGACACUCAAAGCAUGGAGAAAGCUUUCUAGGCAGAGAAAUGACGAGAGGGAGCAAGAACACAAAAACACUAAGCCCGAUGUGCAGAAACUUCCCGGGGAGAGUUGGGAAUAUAGAACUUCUCUGGCGUGGCAGCCGAUAAAAACUUCGCCAUCAGAGACCCACGACCUCGAAGGGUGAGAAGGUGGACGCCAGGGGAGCAGGGGCUUUUGCCUCCUGUUCUCACCGUAGUCCAGCAGCCCCACCAGGGCCUGACACACACUGCGUUCAACGCUUGUUCAAUGAGUCCAGAACCAUCUGGGCAUUUGAAAACUACAAUUUUCAGCCCACUCUUUGCCCACUGUUUUAGCUUAUACCUUAGAACAGCAUAGGCUCGGAGGGCCCUCCAGGACUUUUUCUUUUAAGCUGAUUUCUCGUUAUCUGGAGAUGUGGUUUUACUGUACCAAUGGUGCUUGUUCUCUCUUCUUCCGUGUGCGCAGGCCUCCACGCAGACCUAAUGAUAAAUGGACCAAGGAGCACGCCACUCUGUCUCCCCGUGCAGCCUUCCUUUGCUUAAUUGCAUGGACUAAUGCAAACUUCAUUACACUUUCAUAAUUGUUCCGGGACUUGUUUCUCCAUUCUCAAUUAACUGCUAUCCUUUAGCUGGGAAGGAAAUUGAGAGUACACAGGUUUGAGCAGAAACACUAGAUUUAUAAUGUUAAAUACUAAGAAAAAGGGCAGUGAAAGGCCUGGCUCGGACACAGUUUGUUGAAGCAGCACUGAGAGGCGAGAUUAAGGUUAGGUAAACGAGGGGAGGAUCAAUUCUGCUGGCUGUUCUCUGGAAGGUCAUUGUUGUUUGGUUUGCUUUGUUAUUGAAGCAGGUCAAAUGACUCGGGUUCGUUCUUAAUUAUAAAAUACAGGGAUUUGUUUUU